UCUCACACCUGCCAUUCCUCCUGUAAUAGGCACUACUUUGCAUGAAGAAAAGAAUAGAUAUAAGAGUAGAAUUAGAAGGAAAUUAGAGACGCGUUAGAGAAUCUAACGCUAGUAUUAGAAGAAUUGUGCAAGAGGUGAACAGGACGUUGAAUUGAUAACAGCCAAGCUUAACUAUAAACAGCCGGUUUGUUUUAUGCCCAUUCAGCUUGUUAAAGGCUUACCUCCCAUUGGGUGGAGAUUAAAACGUCAUUCAUUUUGCUUGAUAUUAUUGGCUAUGGAAAUCUAUGACGUAUGCCUCGACACCUCUCGGACAAUCCUCAAGUCACUUUUAGGAGGAGUAGCAGCCAGUCACCAAGAUGGUACAGACGCACAACCCGUGUCGCUCUGACUUGAGUUACUCAAAGACUUAGACUCUGAUCAAGACGCAAGAGUCUUAAUAACUUUGCUUAUAACCUUUGUCGUGUGAUUGAGUAGUAAAGAAGUGCACUGUUGUUGAGCUGUAAAGACAAUAUAUAUUUUCUAAAUAAACUGCAAAACGCCAGACUAACUUUGAUAACCCACUUGCACAAGGAUGUUGUGAGUGAUGAUUAUCGAGAAAGAAAAUCGUCGUCUCCGAUACCAAGCUACGCCCACCGACACAUAGUCGCCACAGGGGCUAGACACAGUGUGCACACAUACAUGAUCAACACAGUCGUGUCAACACAGUGGUGCCAAACACACAGUGGUGGCACACACUCUUACUGAUGGGCAGCAGGGGGCGUUAGACAAGAAGUGAUAUUAAUUGCUUCAUUCUAAACGCCACAACAACAGGAUAAAACGGCGCCACGCGGCAAAACUACGGAGAAACAAAAAUACUAAAGAUACGAUGAAAUAUGAUCGAAAAAAAAAGCACGAAAGCAGUUUCAUGGUAAAACACAAGACACCACUCUAAAGAAGGCAAGGCAAAGGAAGGGGUGAGAGAGGACAGCUCCCAGGAGAAAAUGAAGGUUGAACAACGCAAAGCACGAAGUGAAGGGGAUAGUGAUGGACAGGAAACUAGCAGCCAGCGAGUCAAGGCCGCAGGAUGGACUAUGGGAUGAGAAGGGUUGGUGGACGAGUCAGUGGAUGUAGUGUGCAGUGGAGAGUGCGCGUGGGACAUGAGGAAAUAAGCAGUGCAGGGUGGAGGGUGACGCAGUGUGGGUUAGUGGAGAGCAGGCAGGCACGGGAUGAAGAAGGAAAGGCUUCCGAAUCGCCACACGCACGCCCGCUCAGGUCUCACAGCCUCGCCCUCCUUGUGAACCCUGUGAACUCCGUGGCUUCAGAGAAAAUGGGCCUCUGCCGCUGGGCGUCAACUGAGUCAAGGGAUGACUGAGUUAGUAGCGCGGUGGCGGGCUCCUCCCCUCACACCGCAGCGGGAUGCCUGGAACACAAGCCCCGCACAGCUCUCCACGCACCGGCUCGUUAGCAACACACUAAACCAACCCAGAACCUGACCCUGAAAAUUGGCCUUCCACUCUUCCCUCUCCCAAUAUUUUAUUUCUUCCUCUCAUUUGUUCUUCCCUUCCAUUCUCCCACUCUGCUCUUCUUCGCUCUUCCUUUUUUUAAAUCUUGACAUUUGAAUUCCUCUUGUCUGCUCAAGUGAAGCGAAUGGGGAUUUGCUUCGUUCAGGGUUCAAGUACUAUAGGGUUGUACCAUUGCCAACAAAAUCUUUUUCGCUGUGAUUUCAUCAAGAGAUCUCAAAUUUUCCCGUGGUAUUAUUCAUUCCAGCUUAGGCUCCAGCACACUUGAACACUGUAUGGUUUGAGUGCUAGACAAAUGUUGCCAUCUCUUUAUUUGCUUGCGUCUAUAGUUUUUGAUCAGCAGGAAGCAGAAAGCAAAAGUAAAUGAGGUGAAAAAUGAGAAAAGAUAUCUUUCCUUGAUCAGAACGACUUAAUAUGUUUUCUUCCCCAAGACCUCUAACCGAACCCUAUAAACACUGACCAAACAUACUGCUAAUAAAAAAAUAGAAAAAGCAGCGUUGCAGCACGUCCUGAGAGCAAGACAGAUCCUGGAGGGCUGGACUCGACUGGACUCAGCUCUCUAGACGUCUCUUACUCCUCAACAAAGCGAGGCGAGGCGACCAGCGGGGUUCAUAUACCCGACCCCGCCAUUCAGUGGAAAGCCUCCUGACUCGCUCUGACCGCCGCACGCACUUGCACCGGCUAAGGCAAAACAAUAAAUGGAAGCAAAAAGGAAGACGAUGCUGCUGCUAAACUCAGGAUGAAACUGACCGCACAGAUAUACUUUACUUCCCACGACCUGCACACAUUUCUAAAAGGCAAGGCAAGGGAAGGUGAACUGAAGCGAAAAGAUGAAAAUAAGUAAAGGGAGAAGAUUGUAUGAUAUUAUUAUUUUUUUUUUUCAGAGAUGAACUUUUCGUUAUUGUUUUCUUCCUUAGGCAUGAGUGUUCAAUUCUAGAUACAUUUAUAAAAGGUAAGGGAAGAAGAGGUGGAGUAAAGCAGAAAGAUGAUAAUAAGUAAAAGAGAAAGAUGCUAUUUUCUUCUAAGAUGCACUUUGUUAUUUUUUUUUUCCUUAGACACAAUAAGCACUUGUUUUUAGAUACAUUUCCAAACAGAAUAGGAGUGAAGCGAAAAAUUAAAAUGAGACAAGGGAGGACGGUA